UGUUUCAUAUCCUCCCAGGGGAACCUGUCUCAUAAACGAUGAUCCACGUUUUAUCUUACCUUGUUUUGAAACGCUUAGUGUGUAGCGGGUCAGCUUGUAUACCGUCGCCGAUAGAUCACCCUUGAGGGGCUUAAAGUGGUCGGGAAGAGAAGUCGAAGGUUGUAGGUUGCUGCUCUGUUAUGAGUAAUUGCGGCUGAUACUUGUUAUGCUGUGGGACCUAAGGGCCCUGCAGUCGUUAGCUUCUCAGGAUGUCAGAUCAAGGUGCAGCUUAUGGCGAGGUGAUGAUGGGUUACAAUAACUUAUUUGUUAUACGGAUUUUUCGUUGUAAUGCGGAAUUUAAAGGCGGACUUGGAUGUAAUGUUGAAUUAGGAAGUCACAGUGAACUAGGUUUUGAGAUGUGUACAAAUCGCCCGUCGCUCUCGUUGAAAAAU
rnacentral:rRNA from 1 species